rnacentral:rRNA from 1 species
UACACACGGAUAACAUACCGAAAGGUAUGCUAAUACGGGAUAAUAUAUUUGAGAGGCAUCUCUUAAAUAUCAAAGGUGAGCCAGUACAGGAUGGACCCGCGUCUGAUUAGCUAGUUGGUAAGGUAACGGCUUACCAAGGCGACGAUCAGUAGCCGACCUGAGAGGGUGAUCGGCCACAUUGGAACUGAGACACGGUCCAAACUCCUACGGGAGGCAGCAGUGGGGAAUAUUGCACAAUGGGCGAAAGCCUGAUGCAGCAACGCCGCGUGAGUGAUGAAGGCCUUCGGGUCGUAAAACUCUGUCCUCAAGGAAGAUAAUGACGGUACUUGAGGAGGAAGCCCCGGCUAACUACGUGCCAGCAGCCGCGGUAAUACGUAGGGGGCUAGCGUUAUCCGGAUUUACUGGGCGUAAAGGGUGCGUAGGCGAUCUUUCAAGUCAGGAGUGAAAGGCUACGGCUCAACCGUAGUAAGCUCUUGAAACUGGGAGACUUGAGUGCAGGAGAGGAGAGUGGAAUUCCUAGUGUAGCGGUGAAAUGCGUAGAUAUUAGGAGGAACACCAGUUGCGAAGGCGGCCCUCUGGACUGUAACUGACGCUGAGGCACGAAAGCGUGGGGAGCAAACAGGAUUAGAUACCCUGGUAGUCCACGCUGUAAACGAUGAGUACUAGGUGUCGGGGGUUACCCCCUUCGGUGCCGCAG